UUGUACCCUCUGGGGACAAUACAUCUCCAGUUGUCUGCAGGGAGGAUGAACAUGCAAAAAAUCCGCAACACUCAGCACAGAGUCUGGAUUUAGUCCCAUUAGUCUGAAUGGGACUAAUGCCCUUAUAAAAGGGACCCCGGGGAGCUCUCUCGCCUUCUUUCUGCCCCCGAAGAUACAAUGAGAAGGUGGCAGUCUACAACCAGAAAAAAAGUCCCUCACCAUAACCCUACUAUGUUGGCACCUUGAUCUCGGACCAAUCUCCAGAACUGUGAGAAAUAAAUUUCUGUUGUGAAUUAGAACGCCACCCAGUUUAUGGUACGUUGUUAUAGAAACCCGAACUAAGACAGAGAUGGAAUCCCAGGAGGGUCUCUAAUUUGCUAAGCUGGUCAUCAGGUGGCAUGUUGUAAGUUAGAAACAGGAAGAGCUGACAUUUUGUGCAUAUGAAAGAAGAUAGUGGACAGGCCCAUUGCCAUCGGCUUUGUCCGCCUCGACAAACUGGAGAUGGAAACUCGAUUCACCCUCUCCAGCCACGGAGGACCGGGAGGACCUCCAGAGGAGGUUAGGUCGACUUCAUGGUAACUUUAAAUCCUGAAACCUCACAGGAUUUUUCUUGUCUUCCCUUUGAUCUCUCUUCCGCCUACCCAACAGGACAGGACUCGCCGCCUUUCUUUCAAGUCAGCAAGGGAUCCCUUCCGGACAGGACCGAAGUGAGCAGCUGGUUUCCCCCUAUGCUUCCUUCCGGGCCUGGGCGUCUUGAGAGCUCAGGCUGACCUGAGACCUAACUCCCGGCGAGUGGGACCAGCAGGAGCCUGGAAGAGUGCGCGCAGAGGGGUGGAGGUUGGGCGCUGGGGUUUGCGAACCGCAGUCAAACCCUCUUCUUCCCUGCGCACCGCGCACCUGCCCCCGGGGGUGCUGAAGGAAGUGGCCCAUAAAGCUUCUCUGCAACCGAAAGAAGCCUGAAGGUCCAGGAGGGGCGAGAGGAGACUCGUCGAACGAACCCAGCCCUCUGCCUGGCUGGCCCUGGUCAACAGGCUCGGAAGAGGCCGAUUUGGAGGACCUAAAGGAUUAGAAUCUCAUGAUGUCAAGAUGUUAAAGCCUAAAUCCUAAGUUCUGACUGUGAGGGGGAGCGAGGGUGUCUUGAGCUGGAUCGAUCCUUGAGUCUUCACCUGGAGAGUCCUCUGCACAAGUUCAGAGAGCAGGACAACGCGCAGCAAUGGUUCUCCACUGGGGGCAACUUCGCUCUCACACGCCUGUCCCAUCCCCGCUGGGACACUAGGCCACGACUGGGGGAAGCGGAAGGGAGAAUGUUAACCCCCUGGCAUGUAUCUAGUCAGCGGAGGCGAUGGAUGCUGCUAAGCACCUUACAAUUCACCGCGGAGGGGCCCCUCCCCCACCCCUAAGUAGCAAUUCUGCGGAGGUGGAGAAACUCGCUUGUAGGUCAAUGCCCACGCACUUGGCCGAUGGUAAAUCACGAGUUGGUGACCAAUUGGAUUUUGGAUCUGAGGAAAAAACUCCAGCGUCAGAGGGAACUCUCGAAGUUUUGCCCGGAGCAAACGGAAGGGUGGCGUUGCCAUCGCCUAAAAUGGGAAAAUCGCAGGUGUCACAGGUUGCAGGGGAAGGACGGAGACCAGUUGAGGGCCCCGGAGCCUUCCUGGAAAGAGUUUCCUAUCCAGCCCGUUUCGGUUUCCGCAUCCGUCUGAUUCCUUAUGAUGUUGAGGGUGCCGGGGUCUGGGUACUUUAUGAUGCAGAGGGUAUCCCCGUCUCACCCCGGGCCCCUCCCGGCUCCCGCCUCCUCCUGGCAACCUGGUGCGCGACUCCAAACCUGGCGACUCGCGACCGUCUCGUCAUUUGCUGCCGCCUAGCAAAGGCACAUCUCUAGACCAGUGGUGAGCUGCCGCCGGCUCGCUGCAACUCGCUCCAGGACUCGGGACUCGUGGCCUUGGUGUCCCUCGCGGAGCCCUACGGUGUGUCGCCUGCAGGCUCUUUGUUUUGAAGAAAGUAGGGAGGGAAUGGCCUUGUGAGAGGACUCCAGGAGCAAAGAGCGACCCUUAG